AUAUACAAAGAGUCCUAUAAUUAAGUAUUCUAAUUAGAAAGAGAUCCCAAUAAUUAUGCUAACUAAUUAAUAAAGAAUAUUAUGUACAUAAUUAUAGGAUUGACUUUCUAUAACACUAGUAUUAGGUUGUACGCCAUAGCAAAAUCCAUGAUGCUUUUUCCCUCCUCAUUUCGGCUGCCAAAACCAAAACUUCCAUGAACAUUCUCAUAACCUUACCUAUCACUUCCUACAUGUCCAUUUAAAUCUCCACCGAUGAGAACAUUCUUUUCAUUCUCAAAAAUGAAAAUGAAAUGAAAUUCCUGAAAUAGAAUAUUCAGAUGACAUCCAUUCCAAAGCAAAACCAGCACGCCCUUAGCUCCUUGGGACUUUUGGCCACACGAAGUGGCCCUUAAACUUACUAGUUACUUUUGUAUGGUAAUUAGGCUCUUUCUUGAGCAUUAACAUUUAGGAAAGAAAUUGCAGAAGGUUCUUAGGAAGACAUUUAAAGAACACAUACAGCAUAUGGUACCAGAAUUAACAGAUGGGGUAUAACCGAUGCCAUUUCUGAUGAACUUGAGGUCUGGAUGUUCAUAUAAAGCUGGACCUUAAGCAAAGUGAUGUUGAUUUCCGGUGGCAAUUGAACAUUUAUACAAAGAUGAUUAAUACAAAACAAAUUCUCACACUCAGUGCUAAUAUGUCAUCACUGUUUCAAUGAAGAAUUCAGAUUUCCAAGGCAUAAUGGAAUCAUAUAUUUUGCCAUUAUGCUAGAGAAAGAAAUAAGAAAAGCUCCAGUUGAGACUUUUGCAAGAAGAAUAGUCAAUUGGUACAGGAAUCUGUAUUUGAACAACACUAAUUUUAUAAUGCCACUGAUGCUACAUAAACUCAUUCUUAAAUAUUUGUAAUUCAAAAUUGAAGGUUAAUGAUGCUGAGUACUAGCAAAAAGAAAGGACUGACCAGAACAGAAUACAAUCCUCAUUAAGCUUCUGCUUCCCAUGGAAGAUUUUGCUAAGCAAUGGUAAAGCAGUUAAGGACCUUUGACUCACUGAAUGCUAUAUUUACUGCUGAUAUUACCUUUUCCCCCUUUUGAAAGAUAUAACCAAUUCCAAUUGUUAAUGGAAGGGAGGUUGACAUAUUUGGACUUUGGACAUAUGCAUUUUAGGCCAGUAAAUUGGUUGGUAUGGAAAGUUAAUUGCACAAGAGAAAUAAAGAGAGCGGUAAAACUUUGGGAUUAAAGCUUAGUUGAGUGAAAAAGAAACAAUCAAUUUUCAGCAGCAACAGUGUUGGGAUAAAAUGGAAAAAUUCUUGAUUAGUUAAGUGUAGACACGUUAAUAUGCUGGUUACUAGUUGUUACUAGAGUGUUGGAGCAAAGGCUAAUAAAGAAUCAGCUACUAACACACCCAUAAAGAAUCAGCUACUAACACACCC
rnacentral:misc_RNA from 1 species